rnacentral:rRNA from 1 species
CUGAGUUUGAUCCUGGCUCAGGAUGAACGCUGGCGGCGUGCUUAACACAUGCAAGUCGAACGGUGAAGCCAAGCUUGCUUGGUGGAUCAGUGGCGAACGGGUGAGUAACACGUGAGCAACCUGCCCUGGACUCUGGGAUAAGCGCUGGAAACGGCGUCUAAUACUGGAUAUGAGCCCCUUCCGCAUGGUGGGGGUUGGAAAGAUUUUUUGGUCUGGGAUGGGCUCGCGGCCUAUCAGCUUGUUGGUGAGGUAAUGGCUCACCAAGGCGUCGACGGGUAGCCGGCCUGAGAGGGUGACCGGCCACACUGGGACUGAGACACGGCCCAGACUCCUACGGGAGGCAGCAGUGGGGAAUAUUGCACAAUGGGCGGAAGCCUG